ACUCAAAUGAAUUGACGGGGACCCGCACAAGCGGUGGAUGAUGUGGUUUAAUUCGAUGGUACGCGAAGAACCUUACCAAGGCUUGACAUCUCUGGAAUCCUGGCGAAAGUCGGGAGUGCCCUCGGGAACCAGAUGACAGGUGUUGCAUGGCCGUCGUCAGCUCGUGUCGUGAGAUGUUGGGUUAAGUCCCGCAACGAGCGCAACCCUUACUGUCUGUUGCAAUUUCAGGCAAGACUGCCCGGGCCAACCGGGAGGAAGGUGGGGAUGAGGUCAGGUCAGCAUGGCCCUUACGCCUUGGGCUACACACGUCAUACAAUGGCCGGUACAACGCGAAGCCAACCCGCGAGGGGGAGCUAAUCGUAUCAAAACCGGUCCCAGUUCGGAUUGGAGGCUGAAACUCGCCUCCAUGAAGUCGGAAUCGCUAGUAACCGUAGGUCAGCACACUACGGUGAAUACGUUCCCGGGUCUUGUACACACCGCCCGU
rnacentral:rRNA from 1 species